GACGAACGCUGGCGGCGUGCUUAACACAUGCAAGUCGAACGGAAAGGCCCUGCUUUUGUGGGGUGCUCGAGUGGCGAACGGGUGAGUAACACGUGAGUAACCUGCCCUUGACUUUGGGAUAACUUCAGGAAACUGGGGCUCCUACCGGUUAGGAGCUCCUGCUGCAUGGCGGGGGUUGGAACGUUUCGGCGGUUGGGGAUGGACUCGCGGCUUAUCAGCUUGUUGGUGGGGUAGUGGCUUACCAAGGCUUUGACGGGUAGCCGGCCUGAGAGGGUGACCGGCCACAUUGGGACUGAGGUACGGCCCAGACUCCUAUGGGAGGCAGCAGGGGGGAAUAGUGCACAAUGGGCGGAAGCCUGAUGCAGCAACGCCGCGUGCGGGAUGACGGCCUUCGGGUUGUAAACCGCUUUCGCCUGUGACGAAGCGUGAGUGACGGUAAUGGGUAAAGAAGCACCGGCUAACUACGUG
rnacentral:rRNA from 1 species